rnacentral:rRNA from 1 species
GACGAACGCUGGCGGCGCGCUUAACACAUGCAAGUCGAACGGAAAGGCCUGCUUUCCCUUGUGGAUUGCGGGUACUCGAGUGGCGAACGGGUGAGUAACACGUGAGUGAUCUGCCCCCAACUUGGGUAUAAGCCUGGGAAACUGGGUCUAAUUCCCGAUAGGACUGCAGGGUGGUGCCUGUGGUGGAAAACGAUUUUCUAGUGGUUGGGGAUGAGCUCGCGGCCUAUCAGCUUGUUGGUGGGGUAAUGGCCUACCAAGGCGGCGACGGGUAGCCGGCCUGGGAGGGUGGACGGCCACAUUGGGACUGAGAUACGGCCCAGACUCCUACGGGAGGCAGCAGUGGGGAAUAUUGCACAAUGGGCGGAAGCCUGAUGCAGCGACGCCGCGUGGGGGAUGACGGACUUCGGGUUGUAAACUCCUUUCGACCGCGAGGAAGCCACCUGGUUGGAAGGGUGGUGACGGUAGUGGUAGAAGAAGCACCGGCUAACUACGUG